GAUGAACGCUGGCGGCGUGCCUAAUACAUGCAAGUCGAGCGAACAGACGAGGAGCUUGCUCCUCUGACGUUAGCGGCGGACGGGUGAGUAACACGUGGAUAACCUACCUAUAAGACUUGGAUAACUUCGGGAAACCGGAGCUAAUACCGGAUAAUAUAUUGAACCGCAUGGUUCAAUAGUGAAAGACGGUUUUGCUGUCACUUAUAGAUGGAUCCGCGCCGCAUUAGCUAGUUGGUAAGGUAACGGCUUACCAAGGCGACGAUGCGUAGCCGACCUGAGAGGGGGAUCGGCCACACUGGAACUGAGACACGGUCCAGACUCCUACGGGAGGCAGCAGUAGGGAAUCUUCCGCAAUGGGCGAAAGCCUGACGGAGCAACGCCGCGUGAGUGAUGAAGGUCUUCGGAUCGUAAAACUCUGUUAUUAGGGAAGAACAAAUGUGUAAGUAACUAUGCACGUCUUGACGGUACCUAAUCAGAAAGCCACGGCUAACUACGU
rnacentral:rRNA from 1 species